rnacentral:rRNA from 1 species
AGUGAACGCUGGCGGCAGGCCUAACACAUGCAAGUCGAACGGCAGCACAGAGGAGCUUGCUCCUUGGGUGGCGAGUGGCGGACGGGUGAGGAAUGCAUCGGAAUCUGCCUAUUUGUGGGGGAUAACGUAGGGAAACUUACGCUAAUACCGCAUACGUCCUACGGGAGAAAGUGGGGGACCUUCGGGCCUCACGAAGAUAGAUGAGCCGAUGCCGGAUUAGCAAGUUGGCGGGGUAAAGGCCCACCAAGGCGACGAUCCGUAGCUGGUCUAAGAGGAUGAUCAGCCACACUGGAACAGGGACACGGUCCAGACUCCUACGGGAGGCAGCAGUGGGGAAUAUUGGACAGUGGGCGCAAGCCUGAGCCAGCCAUGCCGCGUGUGUGAAGAAGGCCUUCGGGUUGUAAAGCACUUUUGUCCGUAAAGAAAAGCGCUCGAUUAAUACUCGGGUGUUAUGACGGUACCGGAAGAAUAAGCACCGGCUAACUUCGUGCCAGCAGCCGCCGCAGUAA